rnacentral:rRNA from 2 species
GGGUUGUGAGGUUAAGCGACUAAGCGUACACGGUGGAUGCCCUGGCAGUCAGAGGCGAUGAAGGACGUGCUAAUCUGCGAUAAGCGCCGGUAAGGUGAUAUGAACCGUUAUAACCGACGAUUUCCGAAUGGGGAAACCCAGUGUGACUCGUCACACUAUCAUUAACUGAAUCCAUAGGUUAAUGAGGCGAACCGGGGGAACUGAAACAUCUAAGUACCCCGAGGAAAAGAAAUCAACCGAGAUUCCCCCAGUAGCGGCGAGCGAACGGGGAGGAGCCCAGAGCCUGAAUCAGCAUGUGUGUUAGUGGAAGCGUCUGGAAAGGCGCGCGAUACAGGGUGACAGCCCCGUACACAAAAGCGCAUGUGCUGUGAGCUCGAUGAGUAGGGCGGGACACGUGGUAUCCUGUCUGAAUAUGGGGGGACCAUCCUCCAAGGCUAAAUACUCCUGACUGACCGAUAGUGAACCAGUACCGUGAGGGAAAGGCGAAAAGAACCCCGGCGAGGGGAGUGAAAAAGAACCUGAAACCGUGUACGUACAAGCAGUGGGAGCACCUUCGGGUGUGACUGCGUACCUUUUGUAUAAUGGGUCAGCGACUUAUAUUCUGUAGCAAGGUUAACCGAAUAGGGGAGCCGUAGGGAAACCGAGUCUUAACCGGGCGUUAAGUUGCAGGGUAUAGACCCGAAACCCGGUGAUCUAGCCAUGGGCAGGUUGAAGGUUGGGUAACACUAACUGGAGGACCGAACCGACUAAUGUUGAAAAAUUAGCGGAUGACCUGUGGCUGGGGGUGAAAGGCCAAUCAAACCGGGAGAUAGCUGGUUCUCCCCGAAAGCUAUUUAGGUAGCGCCUCGUGAAUUCAUCUCCGGGGGUAGAGCACUGUUUCGGCUAGGGGGCCAUCCCGGCUUACCAACCCGAUGCAAACUGCGAAUACCGGAGAAUGUUAUCACGGGAGACACACGGCGGGUGCUAACGUCCGUCGUGAAGAGGGAAACAACCCAGACCGCCAGCUAAGGUCCCAAAGUCAUGGUUAAGUGGGAAACGAUGUGGGAAGGCUCAGACAGCCAGGAUGUUGGCUUAGAAGCAGCCAUCAUUUAAAGAAAGCGUAAUAGCUCACUGGUCGAGUCGGCCUGCGCGGAAGAUGUAACGGGGCUAAACCAUGCACCGAAGCUGCGGCAGCGACACUGUGUGUUGUUGGGUAGGGGAGCGUUCUGUAAGCCUGUGAAGGUGUGCUGUGAGGCAUGCUGGAGGUAUCAGAAGUGCGAAUGCUGACAUAAGUAACGAUAAAGCGGGUGAAAAGCCCGCUCGCCGGAAGACCAAGGGUUCCUGUCCAACGUUAAUCGGGGCAGGGUGAGUCGACCCCUAAGGCGAGGCCGAAAGGCGUAGUCGAUGGGAAACGGGUUAAUAUUCCCGUACUUGGUGUUACUGCGAAGGGGGGACGGAGAAGGCUAUGUUGGCCGGGCGACGGUUGUCCCGGUUUAAGCGUGUAGGUGUGUGUUCCAGGUAAAUCCGGUUCACUUUAACACUGAGGCGUGAUGACGAGGCACUACGGUGCUGAAGCAACAAAUGCCCUGCUUCCAGGAAAAGCCUCUAAGCA